GCCUGGGUGGCUCAGUUGGUUAAGCAUCUGACUUUGGCUCAGGUCAUGAUCUCAUGGUUUGUGAGUUCAAGCCCCACGUCGGGCU
rnacentral:tRNA from 1 species